CAGUAGCCACGGGAAUACGUAGGUGGCAAGCGUUGUCCGGAAUUAUUGGGCGUAAAGGGCUCGCAGGCGGUUUCUUAAGUCUGAUGUGAAGGCCCCCGGCUCAACCGGGGAGGGUCAUUGGAAACUGGGAAACUUGAGUGCAGAAGAGGAGAGUGGAAUUCCACGUGUAGCGGUGAAAUGCGUAGAGAUGUGGAGGAACACCAGUGGCGAAGGCGACUCUCUGGUCUGUAACUGACGCUGAGGAGCGAAAGCGUGGGGAGCGAACAGGAUUAGAUACCCGCGUAGUCCCUGUCUCUUAUAC
rnacentral:rRNA from 1 species